UACGGAGGAUCCGAGCGUUAUCCGGAUUUAUUGGGUUUAAAGGGUGCGCAGGCGGGAGAUUAAGUCGGCGGUGAAAUUUUGCAGCUCAACUGUAAAAGUGCCAUUGAUACUGGUUUUCUUGAGUGUGGAUGAAGUAGGCGGAAUUUGUGGUGUAGCGGUGAAAUGCAUAGAUAUCACGAGGAACUCCGAUUGCGCAGGCAGCUUACUAAACCAUAACUGACGCUCAGGCACGAAGGCGUGGGGAUCAAACAGGAUUAGAUA
rnacentral:rRNA from 1 species